UACGGAGGGUGCAAGCGUUAAUCGGAAUCACUGGGCGUAAAGCGCGCGUAGGCGGCCCUGUAAGUCGGAUGUGAAAUCCCACGGCUCAACCGUGGAAUUGCAUUCGAUACUGCGGGGCUUGAGUGCGGGAGAGGGUGGCGGAAUUCCCGGUGUAGGAGUGAAAUCCGUAGAGAUCGGGAGGAACACCAGUGGCGAAGGCGGCCACCUGGACCGUAACUGACGCUGAGGCGCGAAAGCGUGGGGAG
rnacentral:rRNA from 1 species